rnacentral:sRNA from 1 species
GCUAAGUAUGGUGGUGCACACCUGUAAUCCCAGCUACUCAAGAGGCUGAGGCAGGAGGAUCACAAGUUUGAAGGCCAGCCUGGGCAACUUAGUGAGACCCUGUCUCAA